UACGGGGGGGGCAAGCGUUGUUCGGAAUUACUGGGCGUAAAGGGCUCGUAGGGGGCCAACUAAGUCAGACGUGAAAUCCCCGGGCUUAACCUGGGAAUGGCGUUUGAAACUACGGAGCUGGAGUGUGGCAGAGGGAGGUAGAAUUCCACGUGUAGCGGUGAAAUGCGUAGAUAUGUGGAGGAAUACCGAUGGCGAAGGCAGCCUCCUGGGCCAACACUGACGCUCAUGCACGAAAGCGUGGGGAGCAAACAGG
rnacentral:rRNA from 1 species